rnacentral:misc_RNA from 1 species
GAUGAAGAACGCAGCGAAAUGCGAUAAGUAAUGUGAAUUGCAGAAUUCAGUGAAUCAUCGAAUCUUUGAACGCACAUUGCGCCCGCCAGUAUUCUGGCGGGCAUGCCUGUUCGAGCGUCAUUAUAACCCCUCAAGCUCAGCUUGGUGUUGGGGCCUGCUGCACUGGCAGCCCUUAAAAUCAGUGGCGGCGCCAUCUGGCUCUAAGCGUAGUAAUUCUUCUCGCUAUGGAGUCCUGGUGGAUGCUUGCCAUCAACCCCCAAUUUUUCUAUGGUUGACCUCGGAUCAGGUAGGGAUACCCGCUGAACUUAAGCAUAUCAAUAAGCGGAGGA